UACGUAGGGUGCAAGCGUUAAUCGGAAUUACUGGGCGUAAAGCGUGCGCAGGCGGUUCGGAAAGAGAGGUGUGAAAUCCCAGGGCUUAACCUUGGAACUGCACUUUUAACUACCGGGCUAGAGUACGUCAGAGGGGGGUAGAAUUCCACGUGUAGCAGUGAAAUGCGUAGAGAUGUGGAGGAAUACCGAUGGCGAAGGCAGCCCCCUGGGAUGAUACUGACGCUCAUGCACGAAAGCGUGGGGAGCAAACAAG
rnacentral:rRNA from 1 species